rnacentral:rRNA from 1 species
ACGCUGGCGGCACGCCUAACACAUGCAAGUCGAACGAAGUAGCAAUACUUAGUGGCAGACGGGUGAGUAACAUGUAGGUAUCUGCCCUUUGGCCUGGAAUAACACGAGGAAACUUGUGCUAAUACCGGAUAAGUCUUUACAGAGAAAGCUUUAUGCACCAUUGGAUGAGCCUGCACUUGAUUAGUUUGUUGGUGGGGUAAUGGCCUACCAAGACUGUGAUCAAUAGCUGAUUUGAGAGGAUGAUCAGCCACAUUGGGACUGAGACACGGCCCAAACUCCUACGGGAGGCAGCAGUGGGGAAUCUUGCACAAUGGAGGAAACUCUGAUGCAGCGAUGCCGCGUGAGUGAAGAAGGCCUUUGGGUUGUAAAGCUCUUUCGUCGGGGAAGAAAAUGACUGUACCCGAAUAAGAAGGUCCGGCUAACUUCGUGCCAGCAGCCGCGGUAAUACGAAGGGACCUAGCGUAGUUCGGAAUUACUGGGCUUAAAGAGUUCGUAGGUGGUUGAAAAAGUUAGUGGUGAAAUCCCAGAGCUUAACUCUGGAACUGCCAUUAAAACUUUUCAGCUAGAGUAUGAUAGAGGAAAGCAGAAUUUCUAGUGUAGAGGUGAAAUUCGUAGAUAUUAGAAAGAAUACCAAUUGCGAAGGCAGCUUUCUGGAUCAUUACUGACACUGAGGAACGAAAGCAUGGGUAGCGAAGAGGAUUAGAUACCCUCGUAGUCCAUGCCGUAAACGAUGUGUGUUAGACGUUGGAAAUUUAUUUUCAGUGUCGCAGCGAAAGCGAUAAACACACCGCCUGGGGAGUACGACCGCAAGGUUAAAACUCAAAUGAAUUGACGGGGACCCGCACAAGUAGUGGAGCAUGUGGUUUAAUUCGAAGAUACGCGCAGAACCUUACCAACACUUGACAUGUUCGUCGCGACUCUAAGAGAUUAGAGUUUUCGGUUCGGCCGGACGAAACACAGGUGCUGCAUGGCUGUCGUCAGCUCGUGUCGUGAGAUGUUGGGUUAAGUCCCGCAACGAGCGCAACCCUCACUUUUAGUUGCCAUCAUUAAGUUGGGCACUCUGAAAGAACUGCCAGUGAUAAGCUGGAGGAAGGUGGGGAUGACGUCAAGUCCUCAUGGCCCUUACGUGUUGGGCUACACACGUGCUACAAUGGUAUCUACAACAGGAAGCAAGACUGCGAAGUUAAGCAAAUCCCUAAAAGAUACCUCAGUUCGGAUUGCACUCUGCAACUCGAGUGCAUGAAGCUGGAAUUACUAGUAAUCGUGGAUCAGCGUGCCACGGUGAAUGCGUUCCCGGGUCUUGUACUCACCGC